ACGACCGUACCGCAAACCGACACUGGUGCGCGAGAUGAGUAUUCUAAGGCGCUUGAGAGAACUCAGGAGAAGGAACUCGGCAAAUUGACACCGUAACUUCGGAAGAAGGUGUGCCUUUAGUAGGUGAAGGGAUUUACUCCUGGAGCCCAAUGAGGUUGCAAAAAAUCGGUGGCUGCGACUGUUUAUUAAAAACACAGCACUCUGCAAACACGAAAGUGGACGUAUAGGGUGUGACGCCUGCCCGGUGCUGGAAGAUUAAAUGAUGGGGUGCAAGCUCUUGAUUGAAGUCCCAGUAAACGGCGGCCGUAACAAUAACGGUCCUAAGGUAGCGAAAUUCCUUGUCGGGUAAGUUCCGACCUGCACGAAUGGCGUAACGAUGGCCACACUGUCUCCUCCUGAGACUCAGCGAAGUUGAAAUGUUUGUGAUGAUGCAAUCUCCCCGCGGAAAGACGGAAAGACCCCAUGAACCUUUACUGUAGCUUUGUAUUGGACUUUGAACAGAUCUGUGUAGGAUAGGUGGGAGGCUUUGAAGCAGGGUCGCUAGAUCUUGUGGAGCCAACGUUGAAAUACCACCCUGGUGUGUUUGAGGUUCUAACCUAGGCCCGUAAUCCGGGUUGGGGACAGUGCAUGGUAGGCAGUUUGACUGGGGCGGUCUCCUCCCAAAGUGUAACGGAGGAGUUCGAAGGUACGCUAGUUACGGUCGGACAUCGUGACGAUAGUGCAAUGGCAUAAGCGUGCUUAACUGCGAGACUGACAAGUCGAGCAGAUGCGAAAGCAGGACAUAGUGAUCCGGUGGUUCUGUAUGGAAGGGCCAUCGCUCAACGGAUAAAAGGUACUCUGGGGAUAACAGGCUGAUACCGCCCAAGAGUUCAUAUCGACGGCGGUGUUUGGCACCUCGAUGUCGGCUCAUCUCAUCCUGGGGCUGUAGCCGGUCCCAAGGGUAUGGCUGUACGCCAUUUAAAGAGGUACGUGAGCUGGGUUUAAAACGUCGUGAGACAGUUUGGUCCCUAUCUUCCGUGGGCGCUGCAGAUUUGAGGAAGCCUGCUCCUAGUACGAGAGGACCGGAGUGGACGCACCUCUGGUGUAUCGGUUGUCACGCCAGUGGCAUUGCCGAGUAGCUAUGUGCGGAAGAGAUAACCGCUGAAAGCAUCUAAGCGGGAAACUCGUUUCAAGAUGAGAUCUGCCGGGGCCUUGAGCCCCCUGAAGAGUCGUUCAAGACCAGGUCGUUGAUAGGUCGGGUGUGGAAGCGCAGUAAUGCGUUAAGCUAACCGAUACUAAUUGCUCGUGCGGCUUGACCCG
rnacentral:rRNA from 1 species